GUCUUGGCUUGGCCCGUGCUUCUGGCGGGCUGAGCCUCCAGUCCGCCCUGCGCGCAUCAGGAAAUCAGCUCACUCUGCAGGUGUUCCAUCCAUAAACAAGCGUCGGCCACGGGGCUCCUCUUUCUUUUUACGGAAACCCUUUGGAAUUUAACUUUCAGAUACAAAUACUUGGAGCACUUGGCAGCCGAGGCGCACGAGAAGGAGCAGAGAAGCCGGAGCGCGAGCCGGGGCAGAGCUGACCUCUCCUUGGACCUGAGCUUGCCAGCAGCCCCUGCCUCACCUUCCCCAUCAAGCCCGAGUCCUGACUCUGCUGACUCACAAGAGGCUCUCACGGUGCCCUCAACCCCACCCACCCUGCAGUACCCACAAGUAAGUGGUAAGGACCGAGAGCCUGAACUGGAGGCGGAAGCUGGGCAGGGUGCUGAUGAAGCCAGCCGGGACAUAGCGUCUGCCCACAGGGAAGCAGGAAGCCAAGAAGAGCCAGCGCUGGAGCUAGAGCCUGAGGAAAGAGCGUCACUGAGUGAGAAAGAGAGGCAAAACGAAGAGGUGAAUGAGAGGGACAACUGUUCUGCCUCCAGCAUCUCGUCCUCCAGCAGCACCUUGGAGAGGGAAGAGAAGGAGGACAAACUGUCUGGAGACAGACCAACUGGUUUGUGGUCUGCCAGCCUUCAGGAUGUGGGUGUAAAUGGACAGUGUGGUGACAUCCUUACCAGCAAAAGGUUCAUGCUGGACAUGCUGUAUGCCCAUAACAGAAAGUCCACAGAAGACGAAGAGAAAGGUGAUGGCGAACCUGGGAGGUCUGCACAGGAGGUGGAAGCGGU
rnacentral:lncRNA from 1 species